AGCAGCAUGGCUUAAUGGUUUGAGCACUAGCCUAUGAGUCAGAGGUCCUGGGUUCUAAUCCUCGUUCUGCCA
rnacentral:tRNA from 1 species